CCAAUAGCGUAUAUUAAAGUUGUUGCAGUUAAAAAGCUCGUAGUUGAAUUUCGGGGUUAGUACGCUGGUCGUGCCUUCGGUAUGUACUGGUGUUUCUGAUUCCUACCUUCUGAAGAACCGUCAUGUCAUUAAUUUGGUGUGGCGGGGAAUCAGGACUGUUACUUUGAAAAAAUUAGAGUGUUUAAAGCAGGCUCGCGCUUGAAUACAUUAGCAUGGAAUAAUGAAAUAGGACGUUCGAUCCUAUUUUGUUGGUUUCUAGGAUUGACGUAAUGAUUAAUAGGGAUAGUUGGGGGCAUUAGUAUUCGAUUGUCAGAGGUGAAAUUCUUGGAUUUAUUGAAGACUAACUACUGCGAAAGCAUUUGCCAAGGAUGUUUUCAUUAAUCAAGAACGAAAGUUAGGGGAUCGAAGACGAUCAGAUACCGUCGUAGUCAUAACCAUAAACUAUGCCGACUAGGGAUCGGAUGAUGUUAAUUUUUUAAUGACUCAUUCGGCGCCUUACG
rnacentral:rRNA from 1 species